rnacentral:rRNA from 1 species
CCUACGGGUGGCAGCAGUCGAGAAUCAUUCACAAUGGGGGAAACCCUGAUGGUGCGACGCCGCGUGGGGGAAUGAAGGUCUUCGGAUUGUAAACCCCUGUCAUGUGGGAGCAAAUUAAAAAGAUAGUACCACAAGAGGAAGAGACGGCUAACGCUGUGCCAGCAGCCGCGGUAAUACAGAGGUCUCAAGCGUUGUUCGGAAUCACUGGGCGUAAAGCGUGCGUAGGCUGUUUCGUAAGUCGUGUGUGAAAGGCGCGGGCUCAACCCGCGGACGGCACAUGAUACUGCGAGACUAGAGUAAGGGAGGGGGAACCGGAAUUCUCGGUGUAGCAGUGAAAUGCGUAGAUAUCGAGAGGAACACUCGUGGCGAAGGCGGGUUCCUGGACAUUAACUGACGCUGAGGCACGAAGGCCAGGGGAGCGAAAGGGAUUAGAUACCCCGGUAGUC